AGAGUUUGAUCAUGGCUCAGAGCGAACGCUGGCGGCGUGCCUAACACAUGCAAGUCGAACGUGAACGGGGCAACCCUAGUAAAGUGGCGUACGGGUGAGUAACGCGUAGGUAAUCUACCCUAUAGUCUGGAAUAACCGGCCGAAAGGCUGGCUAAUACUGGAUAGAGCGACGGGAUCCGUAAAUGGGUCUUUCGGGAAAGGGGGGCAGCAAUGUCUCUCGCUUUAGGAUGAGCCUGCGUCUCAUUAGGUAGUUGGUGGGGUAAUGGCCCACCAAGCCUUUGAUGGGUAGCUGGUCUGAGAGGAUGAUCAGCCACACUGGAACUGAAACACGGUCCAGACUCCUACGGGAGGCAGCAGUGGGGAAUCUUGCGCAAUGGGCGAAAGCCUGACGCAGCCACGCCGCGUGAGUGAAGAAGGCCUUCGGGUUGUAAAGCUCUGUCGCCCGGGACGAAAAGUCGUAUGGCUCAUACCCAUACGAUCUGACGGUACCGGGAAAGGAAGCACCGGCUAACUUCGUGCCAGCAGCCGCGGUA
rnacentral:rRNA from 1 species